rnacentral:rRNA from 1 species
AACAGGAUUAGAUACCCUGGUAGUCCACGCUGUAAACGAUGUCGAUUUGGGGGUUGAACUUUAGGUUUGGCGCCCGUAGCUAACGUGAUAAAUCGACCGCCUGGGGAGUACGGCCGCAAGGUUAAAACUCAAAUGAAUUGACGGGGGCCCGCACAAGCGGUGGAGCAUGUGGUUUAAUUCGAUGCAACGCGAAGAACCUUACCUACUCUUGACAUCCAGAGAACAUUCCAGAGAUGGAUUGGUGCCUUCGGGAACUCUGAGACAGGUGCUGCAUGGCUGUCGUCAGCUCGUGUUGUGAAAUGUUGGGUUAAGUCCCGCAACGAGCGCAACCCUUAUCCUUUGUUGCCAGCGAUUCGGUCGGGAACUCAAAGGAGACUGCCGGUGAUAAACCGGAGGAAGGCGGGGAUGACGUCAAGUCAUCAUGGCCCUUACGAGUAGGGCUACACACGUGCUACAAUGGCGUAUACAGAGGGAAGCGAUAGUGCGAGCUGGAGCGAAUCUCACAAAGUACGUCUAAGUCCGGAUUGGAGUCUGCAACUCGACUCCAUGAAGUCGGAAUCGCUAGUAAUCGCAAAUCAGAAUGUUGCGGUGAAUACGUUCCCGGGCCUUGUACACACCGCCCGUCACACCAUGGGAGUGGGUUGUACCAGAAGUAGAUAGCUUAACCUUCGGGAGGGCGUUUACCACGGUAUGAUUCAUGACUGGGGUGAAGUCGUAACAAGGUAACC